UAGGUCUAAUACCGGAUAUGACCUGCCUCUGCAUGGGGGUGGGUGGAAAGUUCCGGCGGUACAGGAUGGACCCGCGGCCUAUCAGCUUGUUGGUGGGGUAAUGGCCUACCAAGGCGACGACGGGUAGCCGGCCUGAGAGGGUGACCGGCCACACUGGGACUGAGACACGGCCCAGACUCCUACGGGAGGCAGCAGUGGGGAAUAUUGCACAAUGGGCGAAAGCCUGAUGCAGCGACGCCGCGUGAGGGAUGACGGCCUUCGGGUUGUAAACCUCUUUCAGCAGGGACGAAGCGCAAGUGACGGUACCUGCAGAAGAAGCACCGGCUAACUACGUGCCAGCAGCCGCGGUAAUACGUAGGGUGCGAGCGUUGUCCGGAAUUAUUGGGCGUAAAGAGCUCGUAGGCGGUUUGUUGCGUCGGCUGUGAAAACUUCACGCUUAACGUGGAGCCUGCAGUCGAUACGGGCAGACUUGAGUUCGGCAGGGGAGACUGGAAUUCCUGGUGUAGCGGUGAAAUGCGCAGAUAUCAGGAGGAACACCGGUGGC
rnacentral:rRNA from 1 species